rnacentral:rRNA from 1 species
AGAUUAGAUACCCUGGUAGUCCACGCCGUAAACGAUGUCAACUAGCUGUUUGUGUUCUUGAAACGUGAGUAGCGUAGCUAACGCGCUAGGUUGACCGCCUGGGGAGUACGGCCGCAAGGUUAAAACUCAAAUGAAUUGACGGGGGCCCGCACAAGCGGUGGAGCAUGUGGUUUAAUUCGAAACAACGCGAAGAACCUUACCAGGCCUAGACAUCUAGGUGUAACCAUGUGAAAGCAUGGCCAACCCUUCGGGGAAACCUAGUGCAGGUGUUGCAUGGCUGUCGUCAGCUCGUGCCG